rnacentral:rRNA from 1 species
UACAGAGGUGGCAAGCGUUGUUCGGAAUUACUGGGCGUAAAGGGCGCGUAGGCGGCCUUCUAAGUCAGACGUGAAAUCCCCCGGCUUAACCUUGGAACUGCGUCGGAUACUGGAUGGCUUGAAUUCGGGAGAGGGAUGCAGAAUUCCAGGUGUAGCGGUGAAAUGCGUAGAUAUCUGGAGGAAUACCGGUGGCGAAGGCGGCAUCCUGGACCGACAUUGACGCUGAUGAGCGAAAGCUAGGGGAGCAAACGGG